rnacentral:misc_RNA from 1 species
UACGGGAGGCAGCGGUAAGAAUUUUGGACAAUGGGGAAACCUGAUCCAGCCAUCCGCGUGUGCGAUGAAGGCCUUCGGUUGUAAAGCACUUUUUGGCAGGAAGAAAACGGCACAGGAUAAUACCCCGCAGCGACGGCUACCUGCGAAUAAGCACCGGCUAACUACGUGCCAGCAGCCGCGGUAAUACGUAGGGUGCAAGCGUUAAUCGGAAUUACUGGGCGUAAAGCGUGCGCAGGCGGUUCGGAAAGAAAGAUGUGAAAUCCCACAGAGCUUAACUUUGGAACUGCAUUUUAACUACCGAGCUAGAGUGUGUCAGAGGGGGUGGAAUUCCGCGUGUAGCAGUGAAAUGCGUAGAUAUGCGGAGGAACACCGAUGGCGAAGAGCAGCCUCCUGGGGAUAACACUGACGCUCAUGCGCAGCGUGGGGAGCAGACAGAGUUAGAUACCCUCGUAGU